AUAAUGGGUCAGCGACUUAUAUUCUGUAGCAAGGUUAACCGAAUAGGGGAGCCGAAGGGAAACCGAGUCUUAACUGGGCGUUAAGUUGCAGGGUAUAGACCCGAAACCCGGUGAUCUAGCCAUGGGCAGGUUGAAGGUUGGGUAACACUAACUGGAGGACCGAACCGACUAAUGUUGAAAAAUUAGCGGAUGACUUGUGGCUGGGGGUGAAAGGCCAAUCAAACCGGGAGAUAGCUGGUUCUCCCCGAAAGCUAUUUAGGUAGCGCCUCGUGAAUUCAUCUCCGGGGGUAGAGCACUGUUUCGGCAAGGGGGUCAUCCCGACUUACCAACCCGAUGCAAACUGCGAAUACCGGAGAAUGUUAUCACGGGAGACACACGGCGGGUGCUAACGUCCGUCGUGAAGAGGGAAACAACCCAGACCGCCAGCUAAGGUCCCAAAGUCAUGGUUAAGUGGGAAACGAUGUGGGAAGGCCCAGACAGCCAGGAUGUUGGCUUAGAAGCAGCCAUCAUUUAAAGAAAGCGUAAUAGCUCACUGGUCGAGUCGGCCUGCGCGGAAGAUGUAACGGGGCUAAACCAUGCACC
rnacentral:rRNA from 1 species